GUACUUGAUACAUGUUGGGAAUGAGGGGAGUAGCAGCACGUCCACUUUCACUCUCACAAACUGCCCAGGCGCAGCCAUGAUUUAAAUAGAAACUUAUUGUCAAAGGAAGUUUGUUUUUUUUAUAUGGUCGUGCACACUGGUUAAUUCAGUUCAGGUCGUAUGUUUAUCUUUCCUUGCUAGCCGAGUAAUAAUACUUAGUAUGUUUUAGUCAUGAUAUAUGUUUAUACUCUGUUGCUCCCUCUUUUAUGCAAUCUUGCAAAGGGGAUGCUGCCGAAAUUUUAUAUAUGGACGUCGGAAGUGUAGUACAGUAGCAUACCGGGUUGUUUGUGGAACCUGGAGUGUUACACAUUGUCCCUUCAGUCAAGGGGUAAGGUAUGAUGAUGCUUCCAUCAUAUUCCUUAACCAUGUAUCAUAAGGCUUCUACUUGAUAAUUGCGUCUGGACAACUGAUAUAGUUUAUGUCCAGUUACUGGUCUGUUUAAUAUCUAUUAAGGAUUGCCAUCACUCUCAAUAGGUAUUUGAUAGUAGUCAUUUCCUUUGCUACUAUCUAUUUUAGUCUUAACAUCAUGGUUCCUUUAUGCAUUCGUCUUGGAUGUCUGUUGGAAAGGAUCAACUCAAAUAAGUCACACUGUCAUGUGGAUGGUCCUCAUGUUUCCCUGUUUAAAUAUGGUCCUCAUGUUUGCCUGUUAGAAGGUGUUCCAAUUGAAGUCAUCUAGAGAGCUGACAUUGUUUUGGAGGACAUUCAUUCCAAAAAACCUACGAGGCGUGUGAUCAGUGAAAUUAACAGCAACAGACAAGAGCAGUACCAGGAUGCAGAGACUAAACCGAUGGCCUUCGACACACAAAAAGGUGACCUGAACGGCUUCUUCUAGGAACUAUUUCCCUUCUAAUUCAAUUUUUGGUGACUAAUAUUGGCGAGGAUCCCAUCUAGCUUCCUAAUUAUGUUGGCUUUCACUAGUGUCCCUUCAGUCAAGGGUCAAGGAUCAACUCAAAUAAGUCACACUGUCACGUGGAUGGUCCUCAUGUUUGCCUGUUAGAAGAUGUUCCAAUUGAAGUCAUCCAGAGAGCUGACAUUGUUUUGAGGGAUAUUCAUUCCAAAAAACCUACGAGGCAUGUGAUCAGUGAAAUUAACAGCAACAGACAAGAGUAGUACCAGGAUGCAGAGACUAAACUGAUGGCCUUCGAUACACAAAAAGGUGACCUGAACAGCUUCUUCUAGGAACUAUUUCCCUUCUAAUUCAAUUUUUGGGCGAGUCCAUUCUACUUCUGGGCAUAUUUCAUCGAUUCCAGCAGUUCAUGGGUGAUCAUAUCGACGCUCAUCACCACAAGGUGCUGGAAGAAGGUUUCGACAACAUUUCAAGCUAACAAGGUCAAGACUAGAUGAUCCUGCAUUAUUCAUGAGUCCUUCGCUCGCCCAGCUUGAAAGAAGUUUAUUUGAAAGCAUAAUUCAUGUUGGGCCUGUGCUUCGUCGCCGAAGGUCUUCUAGGAAGAAGCGGCCUUCGGCUGAAGCUGUUUGUAUAAGAUGGCCGAAGGUCCCUCUUCAUGAAGCUUCGAUAUUACAAACCGACUUAAAGAUAGAAUGACAUUUUAGUCCAUAAAGGUCUGAGUCAAUGUUAUAAACUUUUAUAAGGGGCAUACUUGUAAUCCCUCACAGGCUGCACCCUGUGCCUAUAAAUAGUGAACAGUAUUCCCUUACGGUUCACGGAUUCUGGUAACUGCAACCGCAUACUCUGGAAUUCAACCUUUUGUCAAGGCAGAGGUAUUAUUGUAUUCAAUGAUUGGAUAUAUUAAGAAAAUAUAAUAUAAUUCGUCUAUGACUUGUUUA